GCUUUGCAAGGAAAGCAGUUGGGAAGUGUCCAAGGUCUCUCCAAUGAAGCCACAAGGAGACUUUUGAAGGAUACAAAUUAAGGGAUUCCCAUCAUAAGUAAGGUAAAAAGGGUAGCUCUUCAACAGAUAAUUCUGCCUCUUCUGAACAUUUCAAUAGACUCUUUCCAUCAUGAAUGAAGGUUCCUUCUGACUCAGGAAACUUAUUAUAGUGAACUAGUUUCUUGCAUUUUUAUAUCGCCAUCCCCAAAGAAAAGACACAGUUGCCCAGAAAAAGUUUUAUUGCAAUUACAAACUUUGUGAUACAUCAAAGACCCAGCCUGGACAAUGGCAGAAAAGAUUCUGUGACAAAGAACCUCAGUUAACAGUCGAGAAUUCACCCAAUGAAUGUUACAAAUGGGACAAAAGUUGUCCACAAAAGAUAUAUAUAAGAUAUAUAUAAGAUUUCAGUAGCUGUUUGGAAGGCUAGAAUUAUGGGAGUUACACUCCCUAAUACAUUUGCAGGAACCCACAUUUUGCUGGAGAGAAUUGUUGAGAACACCUUGGACUGCAAGAAUGUUUCAAUACUAGAAAGAUUAUGUUAAGAGUUUGUGUGGGGGGCACAUCACACAAAGGUAAGCUUCAUGGAAGUAUUUCCUGAUGUUUGGAAAAAUGGAAGGCAAUCAAUAAGAGAAAUGGCCAACAGAUACAAGUUGGGUAGAUACUAUCACUGGUGACACCUGAUUGAGCAUGCAAGGAUUCAGAGAAGCAGUUCUGUCAAUCUUGGAGAAAUCUCCAUUGAAUCAUGAGGAAUCUGAACUAACUUAACUAAAUGAGAUUAUGAUUGGAGAAGGGACUGGUAGGGUUUUAUUAUAAGCCACCCUAAAUUAAUAUUAUUAAAAAUAUGACAAAAAUUGG